AAACAAUAGUUUAAGAGUAUCAUUUAUUCGGCUUUAAACAGGGUUUAUAUGCAUUCUUUAAGUAUGGGUGGUAUAAUUGACCCUGAAGCCAUAGAAUCGUUUUAAAACGGCAUUGAGAACUACUUAUUGUAUUUAUGAGUAUUUUAAAGUUUCUUAUUGCUGUGUUUCCAUGGCUUUUUGCUUCCUAGACAUUCUAAAUUUACUCUAAUUUUAAUUAACCUUAUUAUUAACUUACAAUUUAUUAUAUAUUUUCAUAUUAGUUAUUAUUGUUAAUUAUAUAUAAGACUAUUAGCAACUUUAAAGUCCCCUGCACCUAGCUUAAAUUUACCGUCAUCUCUUGCAAAAGGACCAGUUUAGAUGUGGUUUAUAUUAGCAAUAUGA